rnacentral:rRNA from 1 species
AUCUACGGCCAUGCCACCCUGAACGUGUCCGAUCUUGUCUGAUCUCGGGAGCUAAGCAUGGUCGGGCCUGGUUAGUACUUGGAUGGGAGACCACCUAGGAAGACCAGGUGCUGUAAGUG